rnacentral:tRNA from 1 species
GUUCCUGUAGCUCAGUUCAGUAGGAUAGAGCAAUCGCCUCCUAAGCGAUAGGUCGCUGGUUCAAUUCCAGUCAGGAACG